rfam:Oryza sativa Japonica Group DNA, chromosome 10, cultivar: Nipponbare, complete sequence.
AAAAAGAUAAACCCUGGAUUUCCGUGUCCAACUUUGACUGUCCGUCUUAUAUAAAAUUUUUUUAUAAUUCGUAUUUUCAUUGUUGUUAGAUGAUAAAACAUGAUUAAUAUUUUAAGCGUUACUUGUCUUUUUAAUUUUUUUUAUAAUUUUUUAAAAUAAGACGGACGGUCAAACGUUGGGUAUGGAAACCAGAGUUUGUCUUUUUU